rnacentral:rRNA from 1 species
AACGAACGCUGGCGGCAUGCCUAACACAUGCAAGUCGAACGAGACCUUCGGGUCUAGUGGCGCACUGGUGCGUAACGCGUGGGAACCUGCCUUUAGGUUCGGAAGAUCUUCCCGGAAGGGGUGCUAAUACCGGCUAAUGUCUUCGAUCCAAAGAUUUAUCGCCUUUGGAUGGGCCCGCGUUGUAUUAGUUAGUUGUUAGGGUAAAUGCCUACCACGGCGACGAUCCAUAGCUGGUCUGAGAGGAUGAGCAGCGACACUGGGAGUGAGACACGGCCCAGACUCCUACGGGAGGCAGCAGUGGGGAAUAUUGGACAAUGGGCGAAAGCCUGAUCCAGCAAGGACGGGUGAGUGAUGAAGGCCUUAGGGUUGUAAAGCUAGUUUACACGGGAUGAUAAUGACAGUACCGGGAGAAUAAGCUCCGGCUAACUUCGUG